rnacentral:rRNA from 1 species
GGAGUUAGCCGGUGCUUCUUCUGUGAGUGAUGUCCUUCCUGCCGGCUAUUAACCCGCAGGCCUUCUUCCUCACUGAAAGUGCUUUACAACCCGAAGGCCUUCUUCACACACGCGGCAUGGCUGGAUCAGGGUUGCCCCCAUUGUCCAAUAUUCCCCACUGCUGCCUCCCGUAGGAGUCUGGGCCGUGUCUCAGUCCCAGUGUGGCUGAUCAUCCUCUCAGACCAGAUACGGAUCGUCGCCUUGGUGAGCCGUUACCUCACCAACCAGCUAAUCCGACAUAGGCUCAUCCGAUAGCGCGAGGCCCGAAGGUCCCCCGCUUUCCCCCGUAGGGCGUAUGCGGUAUUAGCCUGGGUUUCCCCAGGUUAUCCCCCACUACCGGGCAGAUUCCUAUGCAUUACUCACCCGUCCGCCGCUCGCCACCAGGGAGCAAGCUCCCCGUGCUGCCGCUCGACUUGCAUGUGUUAGGCCUGCCGCCAGCGUUCAAUCUGAGCCAGGAUCAAACUCUGA